rnacentral:rRNA from 1 species
AGUGAACGCUGGCGGUAGGCCUAACACAUGCAAGUCGAACGGCAGCACAGUAAGAGCUUGCUCUUACGGGUGGCGAGUGGCGGACGGGUGAGGAAUACAUCGGAAUCUACUUUUUCGUGGGGGAUAACGUAGGGAAACUUACGCUAAUACCGCAUACGACCUACGGGUGAAAGCAGGGGAUCUUCGGACCUUGCGCGAUUGAAUGAGCCGAUGUCGGAUUAGCUAGUUGGCGGGGUAAAGGCCCACCAAGGCGACGAUCCGUAGCUGGUCUGAGAGGAUGAUCAGCCACACUGGAACUGAGACACGGUCCAGACUCCUACGGGAGGCAGCAGUGGGGAAUAUUGGACAAUGGGCCCAAGCCUGAUCCAGCCAUACCGCGUGGGUGAAGAAGGCCUUCGGGUUGUAAAGCCCUUUUGUUGGGAAAGAAAAGCAGCAGGUUAAUACCCCGCUGUUCUGACGGUACCCAAAGAAUAAGCACCGGCUAUCUUCGUG